rnacentral:misc_RNA from 1 species
UUUUUUUUUGGCUCCAAUAUUAUUGUAUCUCCAACUAUUAUGUUUUCCACACCCCAAAGUGCCAGAAAUGUGCUCCAAAAUCAGUUUUACAUUCAUCAUAUGACUUGGGUAAAAUUUCCUGCCAUCAUAUCCCAGAGAAGAAACCAUAGGCUCGAAUAGCAACGUAGUCUACCAUUGCCUGCUAAGCAUUUUUGUCAUUUUUAUGAGUGGUAUUGUUGACUUGAUUCCACUGUUUUCUAAAAUCCUUCUCUAUAGCUAAUAGGUUGAAAAUUGAAAUUGUACAAUAAAUCAACCCUAUCGCAAUCCAUUUCAGAACUUCUUAUUAAAGGCUAA